UUUCCGUAGGUGAACCUGCGGAAGGAUCAUUAUUGUAUAACCGAGGUGUGAGGGCUGUGGCUUACCCGAAAGGGUGUGCACGCCCGAUCGCUCUCACACUCACCCAUCACAUCCCUAUGUGCACCACCGCGUGGGUUCCAUCUUUGCUUGUUCUGAGGGGGGCUAACGUUUUCACUUAAACUUAGUAUUCAUUGUAGUUUGUAUUUUUUGUGUUUGCGCUGCCGUAAUCUAUACAACUUUUAACAACGGGUCUCUUUUCUCUCGCACUGAUGAAGAAAA
rnacentral:misc_RNA from 1 species